UGGGGAAUAUUGCACAAUGGGCGCAAGCCUGAUGCAGCCAUGCCGCGUGUAUGAAGAAGGCCUCGGGCUUGUAAAGUACUUUCAGCGAGGAGGAAGGCAUUGUGGUUAAUAACCGCAGUGAUUGACGUUACUCGCAGAAGAAGCACCGGCUAACUCCGUGCCAGCAGCCGCGGUAAUACGGGGGUGCAAGCGUUAAUCGGAAUUACUGGGCGUAAAGCGCACGCAGGCGGUCUGUCAAGUCGGAUGUGAAAUCCCCGGGCUCAACCUGGGAACUGCAUUCGAAACUGGCAGGCUAGAGUCUUGUAGA
rnacentral:rRNA from 1 species